CAGCCGCCACGGUAAUACAGAGGGUGCGAGCGUUAAUCGGAUUUACUGGGCGUAAAGCGUGCGUAGGCGGCUUCUUAAGUCGGAUGUGAAAUCCCUGAGCUUAACUUAGGAAUUGCAUUCGAUACUGGGAAGCUAGAGUAUGGGAGAGGAUGGUAGAAUUCCAGGUGUAGCGGUGAAAUGCGUAGAGAUCUGGAGGAAUACCGAUGGCGAAGGCAGCCAUCUGGCCUAAUACUGACGCUGAGGUACGAAAGCAUGGGGAGCGAACAGGAUUAGAUACCCCAGUAGUCCCUGUCUCUUAUAC
rnacentral:rRNA from 1 species